rnacentral:rRNA from 1 species
AUUGAACGCUGGCGGCAGGCCUAACACAUGCAAGUCGAACGAGUGGCGGACGGGUGAAUAAUGUCUGUGAACCUGCCUGAUUGAGGGGGUUAACUACUGGAAACGGUAGCUAAUCCCGCAUACCAUCAGAUUUGCCCAGCUGGGAGUAGCUUGUUGGUGGGGUAACGGGUCACCAAGGCGACGAUCCCUAGAUGGUCUGAGAGGAUGAGCAGCUGAACGGGAACUGUGAGACGGUCAAGACUCCUACGCGAGGCAGCAGGGGGGAAGAUUGCACUAUGGGCGCAAGCCUGAUACAGCCAUGCAGCGUGUAUGAAGAAGGCCUUCGGGUUGUAAGGUAGUUUCAGCGGUUAGGCGUUACCCGGAGAAGAAGCACCGGCUAACUCCGUGCCAGCCGCCGCGGUAAUAC